UACAGAGGGGGCAAGCGUUGUCCGGACUUACUGGGCGUACAGCGCGCGCAGGCGGAGGCGGACGUGCCGUGUGACAGACCAGUGCUCACCACUGGAGGGCCACGGUACACGACGUCUCUGGAGGCAGGGAGAGGGAUGUGGAAUGCCCGGUGGAGCGGUGAAAUGCGUAGAGAUCGGGCGGAACACCAGCGGCGAAGGCGGCAUCCUGGUCCUGUACUGACGCUGAGGCGCGAGAGCGUGGGGAGCGAACUGG
rnacentral:rRNA from 2 species